AUUGAACGCUGGCGGCAUGCCUUACACAUGCAAGUCGAACGGCAGCACGGGAGCAAUCCUGGUGGCGAGUGGCGAACGGGUGAGUAAAGUAUCGGAACGUGCCCAGUCGUGGGGGAUAACGUAGCGAAAGUUACGCUAAUACCGCAUACGAGCUAUGGAUGAAAGCGGGGGAUCGCAAAACCUCGCGCGAUUCGAGCGGCGGAUAUCAGAUUAGGUAGUUGGUGGGUUACAGGCUCACCAAGCCGACGAUCUGUAGCUGGUCUGAGAGGACGACCAGCCACACUGGGACUGAGACACGGCCCAGACUCCUACGGGAGGCAGCAGUGGGGAAUUUUGGACAAUGGGCGAAAGCCUGAUCCAGCCAUGCCGCGUGCAGGAUGAAGGCCUUCGGGUUGUAAACUGCUUUUAUACGGAACGAAAAGGUUUGGCCUAAUAAGCUGAGCUCAUGACGGUACCGUAAGAAUAAGCACCGGCUAACUACGUGCCAGCAGCCGCGGUAA
rnacentral:rRNA from 1 species